rnacentral:rRNA from 1 species
UACGGGGGGAGCAAGCGUUGUUCGGAUUUACUGGGCGUAAAGGGCGCGUAGGCGGCCUCCGCAAGUCAGUUGUGAAAUCUCCGAGCUUAACUCGGAAAGGUCAACUGAUACUGCGGGGCUAGAGUGCGGAAGGGGCAACUGGAAUUCUUGGUGUAGCGGUGAAAUGCGUAGAUAUCAAGAGGAACACCUGCGGCGAAGGCGGGUUGCUGGGCCGACACUGACGCUGAUGCGCGAAAGCGUGGGGAGCAAACAGG